GACGAACGCUGGCGGCGUGCCUAAUACAUGCAAGUCGAGCGCAGGAAACUGACGGAACUCUUCGGAGGGAAGGCAGUGGAAUGAGCGGCGGACGGGUGAGUAACACGUAAGGAACCUGCCUCAAGGAUUGGGAUAACUCCGAGAAAUCGGAGCUAAUACCGGAUAGUUCAUCGGACCGCAUGGUCCGCUGAUGAAAGGCGCUCCGGCGUCACCUUGAGAUGGCCUUGCGGUGCAUUAGCUAGUUGGUGGGGUAACGGCCCACCAAGGCGACGAUGCAGAGCCGACCUGAGAGGGUGAUCGGCCACACUGGGACUGAGACACGGCCCAGACUCCUACGGGAGGCAGCAGUAGGGAAUCUUCCACAAUGGACGAAAGUCUGAUGGAGCAACGCCGCGUGAGUGAUGAAGGUUUUCGGAUCGUAAAACUCUGUCGUAAGGGAAGAACACGUACGAGAGGGAAUGCUCGUACCUUGACGGUACCUUACGAGAAAGCCACGGCUAACUACGUGCCAGCCGCCGCCGUAA
rnacentral:rRNA from 1 species